CCCUGGCACCUUGCUCAUGGUCCCCUUGAGAGCAAACUGCUUUCUCCAAACGAGAGGGGCAGAUUGAGAGAGAGUGCCAAGAAGUUAAACCCUUCAUCCCAGGCAUCUGGGUUUGCAACUACUCUUCCAAACCCACGAGGAAGAAGAGAAACAUUUUCCUAAUUGUCCCCUAAUUUGGAAGUCUGCUUCUCUCUCAGUGGAGUUUGUCCUGCACAUUAUUACUGGUAUUGUGCCUGAUCUGAUCUUUUCCUGUAACCCCCUUCCUCCUUUCAAAUAGGCUUCCUUGGCUCUAUUGGAAUUUUAAAAUUCCAUUACUGGCUCCUUGUCUCUUAAAUGUUGUUCUUCUAAUUAUACAAACAAACUGUCAAAGUUUUGAAACUGUCUGUGGGGUUGGGGCAAGAUAGUGGGAAGGGUAGGCUGCACCAUAUCCAUACCACCAAGCUGAGCAGGAGAGAGGUUCUGACCUGGCUCUGGGACUGGCCUUCAGACUGUGCUCUUCUUCCCAGUGUGAGCAGAAAAGAAUUGCUCUGAAUCGAGUCACUAAGACUUGGGAGAAUGAAGGGGCAGCCAACAGCAGUUGCAGUAGAGGAUUCGGAUCAAGUUAACCAGAGGUCCCCAAUGUUGCAAUGUGAGCCACUCUCCAUCCCACAUGCUGCCCAUUCCCACAGCCUGGCAGCCAUGAUUAAACAAUCGCAGCACACUUUCCCACCAAGCCGGCUACUCCCUCACAAGCCUUCUUGGUCCAUCACUCUGGGCAGCCACUACAGCUUGCACAAAGCUGACAACUGUGAUGAAACCUAUUUCCUAUCCUUGGUGUAAGGGGUAGUAUGCUGGAUUCUGGUUUCAAUCCUGCCAUUGACUCACUAGGCUAUCUGGGGCUUGGGCAAGGCUGUUUACCUCUGUAGGUCUGUUCUCUCAUCUGUUAAAUGAGGUUGUUGGGUAGGUGAUUAAUCGGUUUCGAAGCUCAUGUCAAGGCUAAGUGAGUGGAGUGAUGAUUUGGGUGAGGAGGGCUGGAAAAGAACAGAAAAGGAGGGGAUCCCAGUGGGUCCAUGUCCCUGAGAGGGUCCCUAAGUUAGUAGAAUUCAUGCCAAAGCUGACGGCCACAUUUAGAUAAGCAGAAGGGCAUUCCAAGCAGGUACAAUCAGCAAAGGCGUGGAGGUGAGAGUGUACUGAACAGGGAGAGGGGCCGUAAAUUAACAAUAAUUUCAUAAAUUCCUGUGCUGGAUGCAUGCAUUCACUCCAUGAACCUUCCUGCGUCCUCCGAGCUGUCGGGCAUUGUGCUAGGUACUGAGAUCCUCUUGUGAAUGAAUGACACACGCAGAGCUGCUGGUGCUGUAAGCUGGCUGUUCACCCACAGUGAAGCAUGAACAGGGCUGGAAGCACCUUGCCCUGUGGCCCUUGCGGAGAGGUAAGGAGGCGCAUUACAAUGGCUGAGUGAGUAGACCAAGUUAUCUAACUGCUCUCAGCAUUUGUGGAGAAGAUGAGUGAGGCACUUCAUGUAAAAGGCACUUUGUAAACUGUAAAAUCCUCUGCAGAUCUUGUCUAUCAUUCUUAACUGUAAUAAUAACAACAAUAGGAUGAGCAGUGGAUGGUGAAAUUUCAGGCCAGAGCCCUCCAGCCCUCAAAGCCCCUGGAAACCAGCUCAUCAGAGCAAAGCCAACGUUGACGCUUGCUCCCUGACCUUUCACCUGCAAUGUUUUGACCCAGUUUAGGCUUCUCUUUUAAAAGCUCAUAGAAAUAUUUCCUCACCAUAAUUACAGGCGAGGCUCAGGAUCUCUGUCGUAAAAAGAGCUGGUGGAAAAGGGACAAUUAACUAAGGCACAUAAUUGAAGGGUAGACAAAUAUAUCCGGUGGCAGAUGGGGCCCCUUCCUAUUGGAUACUAUUCCCAGUAUCCAAGGGCAAAGAUAGGAAUGGGCUUCAUUUAGACCAGAGGAUGCUGAGCACUUUAUUAUUAAAGGCUUCUGUCAAGAAGAGCGGUGCAUGUGAGUGUGGGCGAUGGAGUCUUCCAGGUGCCUCCUGCAUGAACUGAGUCA
rnacentral:lncRNA from 1 species